rnacentral:miRNA from 1 species
GGUCGUGUUUGGUGUAUCAU